GCAAGAAGAGAAGGGGGCGGCGCCUUACAGAGAGAACAAUCUGGAAUUCAUGGUGACAGACGGAGCUGCUCUGAAAACGCCCCACGACCAGAGAAGAGCAUGCAGGCCGACCCAGAGCAGGACAAGCUGCUUACACACAGCCACGACACCAACCCAGCAGUCCACAUCACAAACUACAGCAUGGAGAAUGGCAGAAGGCAGGUGGGACCAAUGGGGCAGAUGGGGCAUGAGAGAAGGGAGGAACCCAAUGAGCCGCCUGAGGAGGCUUCCUGGGGAGAACCGCUGACCGGUCAGAGGGGACCCUCCUGGCUCCACAUAUCCCCCGUCAGCAGUGGGUCAGAUGCAGGCCUGGUGGCAUGGGCAAGCAUUGGGUGGCAUUACACACCCACAGACAUGGACUGGAACCUGUUUUUUUUUUUUUUUUUAACCUCAAAGUGGACAACUUUCUAUUAUUUGUACUCUCGUACUUCUUGUAUUUGUGCCUGUUGUCACAUGCACGUUUCUCAGUCUUUCCAAUUGUUUCAACCAUGGCUAACAUGUUGUAAUGCGUUUUUCCGAGCCUCCUUUAAACGCAACAUGAGUGCCGGUUUUACAGCUGUGCAGCAGUGACAGAGACCUGCUGCUGCUGUGCAGAGCAGCACAGGUGUGUGUUAGAAUCAUGGCAACAAAAGGCAAAUAUCUUUGCACAGCACUAAUAGAGUGAGUCAAGUAAUGCUGUUGUACGCAAAUAAUGUUAGCUAAAUGAUGACUAGCUAAUGUCAAUAUAAGCUUGUUAACAAAAUUAGGCUACUGAUUUUGUCAUCUAUGUUCAAAAGUGGGUAGUACUGGUUACAUUUACUUGAGCAGCGUUUUGGGCAAAACAGUACUUAUGAGUAGUUUUACUGAACUGUAUUUUUUAUCUUUAUGCUUGAG